rnacentral:lncRNA from 1 species
CUACUAUUAUUACUACUAUUAUUACUAUUAUUAUUAUAUAUAUAUUUUUUUGUUAUAAACUUGGUUUUUUUACACAUAUUUUCCUUUCACAUUUUUAGACCAAGUUUUAAGUUUAUUUCAUUGUUCACUCAUUUUUGCUUAUGUAUGUUUUCUGCUAUAUUUAUAUCACUACUUCCCAUUUUUUAUAUUUACUUUUCAACCUGUAUUUUUUUUUUUUUGUGUUUUUUACUAUAACCUUUUAGAGCCAAAAAAGAGAACAAACCAACAAAGAUUUACUAGAUUUGUUAAGAACUUCUUUGCAAUUUUUUCAAGAUGAAUAGAAUUAAACAUUUAUAAAAUGAGAAAAUGGAUAGGCAGGCGGACAUAUAAAAAAAGAAAAAAUAAAUAGUGGGUACGCUGAAAAAAUUUAUUAUGUAAUAAAAAAAGAAUAAUAAAUUUGAAUAAGCGAAACAUAAAGUGGACUACAAAUUAUAACACAUUUUCAUGAAUUAUUUUUGUAAAGCAUAUGCAUAUAUAUAUAUAUAUAUAUUUUUUUUUUUUUUUUUACUAUUUUUUUAAAAUUAUAAUUUAAAGCGCACCAUCACUUAUGUUAUAUGCGUCAUGAGUUAUUAACAUGAUUAUUAAUUAUUAUAUACAUAAUUAUGUACAUACGUAUAAGUUUUUGUUUUGUUGUUUGUACAUAUAUAUAUAUAUAUAUAUAUAUAUAUAUAUAUAUAUAUAUAUAUACAUAUAUAUGUAUAAAUGUAUAUGUAAGUAUACAUAUGAGUACUGAGAAACACACGCCUAACAAAUGUUAUACUUUGCUUUUACAGAGCAAAGCAUAUAAAUAUAACUAUAAGAAAAAGGCAAUGGUAAAAAAAAGCAUCAAAAUGCUUAGUAUGAAACGCUUGAACGAGUAUUACAUAUAUAUGAUUAAAAGAAACUUUGCAAGAAAAGUUGUAGAAAAUGGUUUAAAACCAUCCUCUUUAAGAAUAAAAAGUGAUAAAACAAAUUUCAACGAUAUAAUUAAUAAAUACUAUCCUAAUAGAAUUUUAAAAAAAAAAAAUAAGCACUUGUAUAAAACAUGUAACAAAAAUGAGAGGUAUUAUUUGUCUCCCAAACUAGAAAGAAAAGCAAAAUUAUUGGGUGUAAAUGUUAAUAUUAAUUCAAGAGGGGACGGAAUGGAUAUUAAACAGGUUACUAUUAAUGGAAAGGAUCCACAAUGUACUGUAAGUGAUGAACCAUAUAAUUUAAAGGAUGUACAAAAUGCAACUGAACCAUCUGAUUUGUUACAAAUUUCGAAGGAAGAGCAUGAUAUACAAAAAUAUAAAAACAAAUUACAUAAAAAAAUGUGGAUAUCGCUAAAACAGAAUAAUAAAAAAGAGUUUGAGCAUUAUUAUAAUAUUUUAAGUAAAUAUCCAUUGAAGGAUGAAGUUUCUUUUAGUAUUUUAUUACAUGGUAAAUUAAUGUUAUCGGAUGAAACAAAUAUAAAUGAAUGUUUUCAAAUUUUGAAAGAGAUGGAAAUAAACAAAGUACAUUGCUCAUUAAUACGUUUUAAUGCUAGAUUAUUAUAUAGUUACUAUGAAUUGACUAAAUUAAAUGCAAGACCAAACUCAAAACAGUGGGUUAAAGUUUUAAGAACCGUUUGGUUUACUGCUGCAUUAGUUAAAGCAAGAAGACAAAGGUUUAUUUUAAGAAAAAUGAAAAGUAUAAAUAAAAAUAAAUCUAUAUCGUUAAGCAAUUUUAAUAACAUCUUUAAUAUACAUAAUUUGCCAUCACUUUAUAUGGAAAAUAGGGACCCCUUAAUAAAGCGAUGCAUUGAGGAGGACACGUAAAAAAAAAAAAAAAAAAAAAAAAAACUAUAACCAUAACUAUGACUGUGGCUAAGGUUAUAACUAGUACUGUGGCUAAAGUUAUAACUAGUACUGUGGCUAAGAUUAUAACUAGUACUGUGGCUAAGGUUAUAACUAGUACUGUGGCUAAGGUUAUAACUAUGACUGUGUCUAAGGUUAUAACUAUGACUGUGUCUAAGGUUAUAACUAUGACUGUGUCUAAGGUUAUAACUAUGACUGUGGCUAAGGUUAUAACUAGUACUGUGGCUAAAGUUAUAACUAUGACUGUGGCUAAAGUUAUAACUAUGACUGUGGAUAAGGUUAUAACUAGUACUGUGUCUAAGGUUAUAACUAUGACUGUGGCUAAAGUUAUAACUUUAAUUGAAGUAUCAAGUUUUUAAUUGAAAAAUGGUAUAUAUGUAUUAUCUACAUAUGUACAUGCACAUACAAAGAAAAGUUACGGAAAAGCAUAAAACACUUGUUUAACACUAAAAAAUUAAGGAACAUGAUCAAAAACGAGUAAGACGAAAAAUAUUAAUAAAAAGAGUUUAAAAAAAAAAAGGGAAACGAGG